AACGCUUCAGGACAAAUCUUAAGUUUGAAAGCAGCGAAGAUGUGAAGACCGCUGGGUUUGCUUGGAAGCAGCAGAAACAAAUGAAGCAAACUGGAAAGACUCUUUUAAAAGUGAAGUUACCAACAUGUUUAUAGGACAGGGCAAAAAAGCAGCAAAAAUAUUAACCUAAGUGGAUCUACGCCGGCAGAACCCUCAUGUGACUAAAAUCAUUAAAAAGCUGAGCCUGUUACUAAAAUUAAAACCCAACUUUGAGACAGAUAUUGUGACUAUUUAACUUUACAUAUUGAGCUUGGACUGGAGAGAGGUAUUUUGUGAGUGUCAGCCUCUUGGACAGACAGAAGGACAAUGGGCUCCACACACUCCAGACCAGGAUUGCAUAAAGUGGUCCCAUGUAACAUUUUGCAAGAAAAGACUCAGAAGCCAAAACCACAAUGGACAGUCCCUGCUCUGCCACACACUGUGGAGCUGCCACCAGGAUCUGUUGGAGAGAAAAGAACAACCUCUCCUCCGCCGAAGCAGGAAAUAACUCUUUCUUCACUUUCAGGCCAGGGACCUCACAGAUGGGGAUAUCCAGCAGUUUUUUGCAAGCGGACAGACAAACACGAGCAGAGGGAUUCAGCGAUCCAAAUGCAGAAGAUUCCAGAUGCUGAAACUCGUUAGAAGACCCACCAAGAGGGGCAUCUUCUGGGAUGAGACCACGGGAUAAAGGCUGGACCCCAGCUGCCUUCUGGAGCCAAAAUCUCUCUCUUUCUUUAGUGAAGCGAUAAUGUGUAACAUGCCCAACAAACAGCUACAAUCCAAACCAGAUGAUUUAGUCAAAAGAGACUGAGCUCAUGAUGUCAAGGGCACAAAAAGGAAGAAAAAGUUCAACAAACUGGGCACGGAAGAUGUUUUGAACAAACAAACAAAAAAACUAAUCGACAACUGAAGGGAAAAUGCCGCAGAAUUCUGAGGUAAAGUGCACAGGGGGUCAUAGGAUGUGGAUAUCUUGAAGCUGUCAGAUAGGGAAGAUAAGAAGUAGAAGCAGGCUCUUUAAGCCAAAGUAAAAACCCUUUUUGUAUUUUGAUCAAAACAAAUAUAACCUUUGAAACAUGAGAUCAAGUAAUACAGAUUAAAUACUGAAACAGCUAUCGCACUGUCAAAUUGAAGUUUUCAGAAACAAUAGUGACACUGGUUUACAUGUUCAGGAUUUACUUGGAAUAUGAUCGAAAUUUGUGACGUUCUGGCAUUGCUUCCUUAGCUGAGUUUAUGGUGCCCUCUACGGGUGAAAGAAAUGCACUGAACUGAGAAAAUUUGCAGUUUAGGCAGAAACACUGUACUCGUAUAGCUUCCCUGCAAUAUCGACAGCAAGCUUCCAAAAAUGGACCAUCUAUUAACUACAAGAGGUUCAAAUCAACUUGCUUUGAGGCUCCUGGUCCAUUAUUAGACACUUAAUAUAGAAGUUAGCACAAAAAACAACCUUCAGUGUUCAAAGAUAUUCUGUUAUUUGAAAGCAAAUUGACACUUCCUUAGAAAUAAUCAGACUGAAAACAGGAAACUGCCAAUUGCACCACUAUUCUUGAAGUGGUCUCCCUGAGGCCAGGUCUUAGCAGACUUAUUUUGACUGAGAGGGACUGGACUCCUACCAAACACCUGGGGCCACAGAAGCUUUCAAAAGCCUGGUCCUCAGACACAGUGUGUUAAAUGAACAUUAUACAGCAGGAGGAAUUCAAUCAGCAGAGAUAAUCCUGCAGUAGUUCAGAAGAACUAUUUAAACAGAAGAAAUGUACUUCAUUAAAUGUAUUUAAA